rnacentral:sRNA from 1 species
CACCGCCUGGGGAGUACGACCGCAAGGUUAAAACUCAAAUGAAUUGACGGGGACCCGCACAAGUAGUGGAGCAUGUGGUUUAAUUCGAAGAUACGCGCAGAACCUUACCAACACUUGACAUGUUCGUCGCGACUUUAAGAGAUUAAAGUUUUCGGUUCGGCCGGACGAAACACAGGUGCUGCAUGGCUGUCGUCAGCUCGUGUCGUGAGAUGUUGGGUUAAGUCCCGCAACGAGCGCAACCCUCACUUUUAGUUGCCAUCAUUUAGUUGGGCACUCUGAAAGAACUGCCAGUGAUAAGCUGGAGGAAGGUGGGGAUGACGUCAAGUCCUCAUGGCCCUUACGUGUUGGGCUACACACGUGCUACAAUGGUAUCUACAACAGGAAGCAAAACUGCGAGGUUAAGCAAAUCCUUAAAAGAUACCUCAGUUCGGAUUGCACUCUGCAACUCGAGUGCAUGAAGCUGGAAUUACUAGUAAUCGUGGAUCAGCGUGCCACGGUGAAUGCGUUCCCGGGUCUUGUACACACCGCCCGUCACACCAUGGGAGUUGGUUCUACCUUGAGGCAAGGUUUCAAACCCUUGACCACGGUAUAGUCAGCGACUGGGGUGAAGUCGUAACAAGGUAGCCGUAGGGGAACCUGCGGCUGGAUUACCUCCUUUCUAAGGAUGAAUAAAAGUAAAAAUUUUAUUCUAAAUAAUAUACAGGUAAUGUUGACCGUCCUCAUUUCUCUUCUUAAAUUAGUGUUUCUCUUGCAUGGGGGCCGGUAGCUCAGUUGGUUAGAGCACACCCUUGAUAAGGGUGGGGUCGAAAGUUCGAGUCUUUCUCGGCCCACCGAUUAAAGAUCAUGGGGGAUUAGCUCAGCUGGGAGAGCGCCUGAUUUGCAUUCAGGAGGUCAGCGGUUCGAUCCCGCUAUCCUCCACCAAAACACUUAGUUAUAAAAAAUCGUAAAUAAUAAUAAUUAAUAUCAAUAUCUAUAUCCGAACAUUAGCUCUGUUAUUAGCUAAUGUUCAAAUAAAAAUUUGAUUCAACACAGAAUUUUUUUCUG